UACAGAGGGUGCGAGCGUUAAUCGGAAUUACUGGGCGUAAAGGGUGCGUAGGUGGUUAGAUCAGUUAGGUGUGAAAGCCCCGGGCUUAACCUGGGAAUGGCGCUUAAUACUGUUUAGCUAGAGUACUGUAGAGGGAAGUGGAAUUUCCGGUGUAGCGGUGAAAUGCGUAGAUAUCGGAAGGAACACCAGUGGCGAAGGCGACUUUCUGGACAGAUACUGACACUGAGGCACGAAAGCGUGGGUAGCGAACAGG
rnacentral:rRNA from 1 species